AUUUCUGACAUAAAAAAAAAGCACAAAUUGGGCAGUUUUACCUAAAUACUGUUAAUAAAACCCCGCUAAUCAAAGCAGGGAAAGGGUAAAUGAAGGGUUUGUGUUUUUUUGUAUUGGUUUGGAAUAUGAAGUAUAAUGUGGAAGAUAAUGUUGUGUAUGGAGAGACUGUAUGAUUCAUAUUUAAUGUGUAUUGUAGCUAUGUAUUUUGCAAAGGGAAAUGGGGUGCACUUUAUUAUUAAUUUAAAACAAAAAAAAACUGCCUUUUUAAUUUUGUUUGUUUUAUUAGUGUGUGAGUGGGAAAACCCUAAAAAGCCAUAUCAUUUAAGCCAGAAGUUCAUAUUUAGCUUACAGAGUGCCGAUAUGAUGGUGUAACUCUGCAGAUGGUAGCACACUUUACUUUGUGCGUGUGUGUGUGUGUGUGUGUGUGUGUGUGUGUGUGUGUGUGUGUGUGUGUGUGUGUGUGUGUGUGUGUGUGUAAUGCUGUCUUAGUGCUCCAUUAAGUAGCACUGACACAUUUCGCCCUCUGGAGUGAGAAGUCUGAAUGUCAGAGCACAACAUGUUGCCUCUCAGGCUCUUACGCUAACUGUGUUUGCUUUGCUGUUAACCCUCUUUCUUCUGCAAGCCAAAUUGCCUGUUGGAACAAUAUUGCCAACAGAGCCCUGAGUGUUUAGGCUGAAAUGUGCGUGGCCCUUUGUGAGCAAAAUAAAGUGCUGCUUUCUGUAGUGUGUGUUACCGUCAAACAGAGAAUAUGGCUUUUCAUGAACCAAUGUUGAGUUUGUUUUUCUCUCUCUUUCUCUCUAUGUGUGUGUGCUUGUGUGUGUGUGUGUGUGUGUGUGUGUGUGUGUGUGUGUGUGUGUGUGUGUGUGUGUGUGUGUGCGUGCAUGUGGACAUUUUGACAGAAGCCACUGAUGAAAAAGCAGUGCUUGGGCUUGUCUAUCACAUUCUCACUCUUUCAGAGUGGAACAAACUUUUCCUUUCAUAUGAAUUAUAAAUAUAUGGCUGUCCUACAAUGGCCUCUUUGUACACGUUUCCAUCUUUCUGAUCAGGAGGAACAGCUGAUAAAGCAACAAGCAUUCUACAUAACACAGUACUCAAACCAAAAAAGCUGGUUCCCAUUUUUCCUUUUCCUCUAAUCUUUUCUCUAUUUUUUGUUUGUUUGUUUGUUGUUUUUGUUGUUGUUGUUGUUUUUGUUGUCAUGUCUUUGAAUGGAUCCACACUGAGCAGUUCUGUUGACAAAAACUACUGUAUAGAUUGUUAUAAUUUUUUUUGGAUGAAGGCUGUAAAAUAACUUUUAAAAUUCACAAUAUUAAAUUAAAGUUACUUCUUGUCUGUGAUCUUGCAAGUAUCCUUUUCUUGUUUCAGGUAGUGCUCUUUUGAUACACGUAUACAUGGAUUCCCAAACUAUUUUCAUCUAUAAGGUUUUGCCCUCUUCCGUUUUCUGAUAGACGCUUAUAAGUCCCUGAAUGUAAAAUCAUUACAAACACUUGUUUUGGAGCUUAGAUUCUCCACAUGACCCUCAAUCCCCUUCAACAUCCC
ensembl:lncRNA